GUUUUCCAGUUUUGUGUUUGCACUCUAGAUUUUCCAAGGGAAAUAUCAAAUGGUGAAUAAAAAUACACUUCCAUGACGGUGAAAUUAACCACAGAUUGGUUUUAAUUUUCACUCCAGAUUUUCCAAGGGAAUGAUCAAAUUAAAAGAUAAAUAAGAAUGCACUUGCACAAAGGUCACUAAGUAACCAUGGUGGUUUUAACGCCUUUUAAU
rnacentral:misc_RNA from 1 species